GACGAACGCUGGCGGCGUGCCUAAUACAUGCAAGUCGAGCGGAUUGAUGGGAGCUUGCUCCCUGAUAUCAGCGGCGGACGGGUGAGUAACACGUGGGUAACCUGCCUGUAAGACUGGGAUAACUCCGGGAAACCGGGGCUAAUACCGGAUAACUCAUUUCCUCGCAUGAGGAAAUGUUGAAAGAUGGCUUCUUGCUAUCACUUACAGAUGGACCCGCGGCGCAUUAGCUAGUUGGUGAGGUAAYGGCUCACCAAGGCAACGAUGCGUAGCCGACCUGAGAGGGUGAUCGGCCACACUGGGACUGAGACACGGCCCAGACUCCUACGGGAGGCAGCAGUAGGGAAUCUUCCGCAAUGGACGAAAGUCUGACGGAGCAACGCCGCGUGAGUGAUGAAGGUUUUCGGAUCGUAAAGCUCUGUUGUUAGGGAAGAACAAGUGCCGUUCGAAUAGGGCGGCA
rnacentral:rRNA from 2 species